rnacentral:misc_RNA from 1 species
GUGAGUCAUCGAAUCUUUGAACGCACAUUGCGCCCCUUGGUAUUCCGAGGGGCAUGCCUGUUCGAGCGUCAUUACAACCCUCAAGCAUUGCUUGGUCUUGGGCUCUGCUGCUUACCUAGCAGGCCUUAAAAUCAGUGGCGGUGCCAUCGGGCCCUGAGCGUAGUAAAUCUCCUCGCUAUAGGGUCCUGGUGGACACUAGCCAAAACCCCAAAUUUUCUAUGGUUGACCUCGGAUCAGGUAGGGAUACCCGCUGAACUUAAGCAUAUCAAUAAGCGGAGGA